UACAGAGGUCCCAAGCGUUGUUCGGAUUCAUUGGGCGUAAAGGGUGCGUAGGUGGCGCCGUAAGUCGGGUGUGAAAUUUCGGAGCUUAACUCCGAAACUGCAUUCGAUACUGCCUUGCUCGAGUACUGGAGAGGAGACUGGAAUUUACGGUGUAGCAGUGAAAUGCGUAGAUAUCGUAAGGAAGACCAGUGGCGAAGGCGAGUCUCUGGACAGUUACUGACGCUGAGGCACGAAGGCCAGGGGAGCAAACGGG
rnacentral:rRNA from 1 species